rnacentral:rRNA from 1 species
AUGCUAAAUGACAGAAUAAACACAUGUGAACUACUGACCAAGAAGAGUAUGCACCUUGAUUCCACUAAGUGUGUCUUAUGCAAUGUAGAAGAUAUGGAGGACAGAAUGCAUCUUCUCUUUUCCUGCCCAUUUAGCCAAGGAUUUUGGUGGAACAUUGGUUUUGAAUGGAACACAGAUUUGAAUAUACAUGAUAUGACAACUGAUGCUAAGCAAAGAUAUCAUCUUAGUCAAUUCAUGGAAAUUAUGAUAGUGGGCUGCUGGAGCAUAUGGAAUCAAAGAAAUGGAAUGAUAUUUGAAGGAAUUCCUUGCUCAAUCAAUGAAUGCAAACAUGACUUUAUCAGAACCUUCAAGUUAACCAAGCUGAGAGCUAAACAUAGUCUUAAGGAUGGCAUGUCAUCCUGGAUUGAUAAUAUCUAA